GAUGAACGCUGACAGAAUGCUUAACACAUGCAAGUCGAUUCGAUUUACCUUCGGGUAUUGAGGAUGGCGGACGGGUGAGUAACGCGUAAGGAACUUGCCUCUUGGUCUGGGACAACUGUUGGAAACGACAGCUAAUACCGGAUAUUAUGAGAUUCUCGCAUGGGAAACUUAUGAAAGCUAUAUGCGCCAAGAGAGAGCCUUGCGUUCCAUUAGCUAGUUGGUGGGGUAACGGCCCACCAAGGCGACGAUGGAUAGCCGGCCUGAGAGGGUGAACGGCCACAAGGGGACUGAGACACGGCCCUUACUCCUACGGGAGGCAGCAGUGGGGAAUAUUGGACAAUGGGCCACAAGCCUGAUCCAGCAAUUCUGUGUGCACGAUGAAGGUCUUCGGAUUGUAAAGUGCUUUCAGUUGGGAAGAAGAAAGUGACGGUACCAACAGAAGAAGCGACGGCUAAAUACGUGCCAGCAGCCGCGGUAAUACGUAUGUCGCAAGCGUUAUCCGGAUUUAUUGGGCGUAAAGCGCGUCUAGGCGGAAAAAUAAGUCUGAUGUUAAAAUGCGGGGCUCAACUCCGUAUUGCGUUGNAAACUGUUUUUCUAGAGUACUGNAGAGGUGGGCGGAACUACAAGUGUAGAGGUGAAAUUCGUAGAUNUUUGUAGGAAUGCCGAUGGAGAAGUCAGCUCACUGGACAGANACUGACGCUAAAGCGCGAAAGC
rnacentral:rRNA from 1 species